UACGUAGGGGGCGAGCGUUGUCCGGAAUGAUUGGGCGUAAAGGGCGCGUAGGCGGCCCGGUAAGUCUGGAGUGAAAGUCCUGCUUUUAAGGUGGGAAUUGCUUUGGAUACUGUCGGGCUUGAGUGCAGGAGAGGUAAGUGGAAUUCCCAGUGUAGCGGUGAAAUGCGUAGAGAUUGGGAGGAACACCAGUGGCGAAGGCGACUUACUGGACUGUAACUGACGCUGAGGCGCGAAAGUGUGGGGAGCAAACAGG
rnacentral:rRNA from 2 species